rnacentral:lncRNA from 1 species
ACUGCAGAGAGAGGACUCCUCUCUUGUUCUCUUUUUGUUGUCCAAGAACCAUGAAAAUAGUCCUCGUAUGAUCACAAAAUCCCAACUCAUCCCCUCUUGGUCCAAACAUAGGGAGAUUCAAAGGCAUGUCACCCUGCCAGGUAGUCAAAGAUGUGGACUCCAGACCUCUAAGAGCAGCUUUUAAGAGUUCAAGCCAUUGUUUCUCUCUCCACAGUGGGUCCCCCUUUUAUAAAAACAACAACAACAAAACUCAUCAAGAACAGAUUCCCAACAGGACAGGUGGCCCCACCCGAUCUCAGCUCUGCCUUUCCUGCCUCUCUGCUGGGUUGCAUAAGCUCCAAACUGUCCUGGAAACUCUGACUGUACCUGGCACUCGCCACGCCCAACCUCCCUUCUGCCCCUGGGCAGGUUGGCAUCCAGUGUGGGGGAGAACCCUGGAGGCGAACACCAGCCUUAUAGAGCCCCACUGUUGGGAGGCCUGCAGGUUGGACAAGGCGAGAUCUGAGUCACCUUGGUUGGGAGCAGAUGCUGCCCUGUUGGUGGCCUGCCAGCCUCUGUCCCCACCCCACCACUCAGAGACAUGGUGUGCCUGUACUUUCCUGAUCCGGGAGCUCCCGCCUUGCUGCCCAGAUGACCUUUGGCCUAGGAAGAAGUCAAAUCUCAGUGUUUU